rnacentral:rRNA from 1 species
GGCGGAGAGUUUGAUCCUGGCUCAGAUUGAACGCUGGCGGCAUGCUUUACACAUGCAAGUCGAAAGGCAGCACGGGGGCAACCCUGGUGGCGAGUGGCGAACGGGUGAGUAAUAUAUCGGAACAUAUCCGGAAGUGGGGGAUAACGUACCGAAAGGUACGCUAAUNCCGCAUAUGCCCUGAGGGGGAAAGGGGGGGAUCGCAAGACCUCUUGCUUUCGGAGUGGCCGAUAUCGGAUUAGCUAGUUGGUGAGGUAAAGGCUCACCAAAACGGCGAUCCGUAGCUGGUCUGAGAGGACGACCAGCCACACUGGAACUGAGACACGGUCCAGACUCCUACGGGAGGCAGCAGUGGGGAAUUUU